rnacentral:piRNA from 1 species
CUGUUGAUGCGGGGCCUAGAGGCCUGGA